rnacentral:rRNA from 1 species
CCCUUAGAUGUUCUGGGCCGCACGCGUGCUACACUGAGUGGAUCAGCGGGUCAGGUUGCGCGAAAGUGUUUCCUAAUCUUUAAAUCCGCUCGUGAUGGGGAUUGACGGUUGCAAUUUUCCGUCAUGAACGAGGAAUACCUUGUAAGCGCGGGUCAUCAUCCCGCGCUGAAUACGUCCCUGCCCUUUGUACACACCGCCCGUCGCUCCUACCGAUUGAGUGGUCCGGUGAGGCUUUGGGAUCUGAGCGGAAAGAGCGUUUCGCUGUUUCUGCCCGGAAAACUCGGUCGAACCUUAUCAUUUAGAGGAAGGAGAAGUCGUAACA